rnacentral:rRNA from 1 species
CAGCGCCACAAGUGGCAACCACGUUUAUUGGGCCUAAAGCGUCCGUAGCCGGUCUGGUAAAUCUCUUGUGAAAUCGUCAGGCUCAACCUGACGGCGUGCAUGAGACACUACCAAACUCGAGACCGGGAGGAGUCAAAGGUAUUUCAGGGGGAGCGGUAAAAUGUGAUAAUCCCUGGAAGAUCACCAAUGGCGAAGGCAUUUGACCAGAACGGAUCUGACGGUCAGGGAUGAAGGCUAGGGGAGCGAUCCGGAUUAGAUACCCGAGUAGUCC